rnacentral:rRNA from 1 species
CCUACGGGGUGCAGCAGUGAGGGGAUAUUGCACAAUGGGGGGAACCCUGAUGCAGCGACGCCGCGUGGGUGAAGGAGUGCUUCGGCAUGUAAAGCCCUAUCGGCAGGGAAGAAGCACGACGGUACCUCACUAAGAAGCCCCGGCUGACUACGUUCCAGCAGCCGCGUUAAUACGUAGGGGGCGAGCUUUAUCCGGAUUCACUGGGUGGAAAGGGAGCGUAGACGGCCAUGCAAGCCAGGGGUGAAAGCCCGGGGCCCAAACCCGGGACUGCCCUUGGAACUGGGCGGCUAGAGUGAGGGAGGGGCAGGCGGAAUGCCCGGUGUAGCGGUGAAAUGCGUAGAUAUCAGGAGGAACACCGGCGGCGAAGGCGGCCUGCUGGACCGCGACUGACGUUGAGGCUCGAAAGCGUGGGGAGCGAACAGGAUUAGAUACCCUGGUAGUC